rnacentral:rRNA from 1 species
GCUGCAUGCAAGUCGAGCGAAUGGAUUAAGAGCUUGCUCUUAUGAAGUUAGCGGCGGACGGGUGAGUAACACGUGGGUAACCUGCCCAUAAGACUGGGAUAACUCCGGGAAACCGGGGCUAAUACCGGAUAACAUUUUGAACCGCAUGGUUCGAAAUUGAAAGGCGGCUUCGGCUGUCACUUAUGGAUGGACCCGCGUCGCAUUAGCUAGUUGGUGAGGUAACGGCUCACCAAGGCAACGAUGCGUAGCCGACCUGAGAGGGUGAUCGGCCACACUGGGACUGAGACACGGCCCAGACUCCUACGGGAGGCAGCAGUAGGGAAUCUUCCGCAAUGGACGAAAGUCUGACGGAGCAACGCCGCGUGAGUGAUGAAGGCUUUCGGGUCGUAAAACUCUGUUGUUAGGGAAGAACAAGUGCUAGUUGAAUAAGCUGGCACCUUGACGGUACCUAACCAGAAAGCCACGGCUAACUACGUGCCAGCAGCCGCGGUAAUACGUAGGUGGCAAGCGUUAUCCGGAAUUAUUGGGCGUAAAGCGCGCGCAGGUGGUUUCUUAAGUCUGAUGUGAAAGCCCACGGCUCAACCGUGGAGGGUCAUUGGAAACUGGGAGACUUGAGUGCAGAAGAGGAAAGUGGAAUUCCAUGUGUAGCGGUGAAAUGCGUAGAGAUAUGGAGGAACACCAGUGGCGAAGGCGACUUUCUGGUCUGUAACUGACACUGAGGCGCGAAAGCGUG